rnacentral:rRNA from 1 species
AGAGUUUGAUCCUGGCUCAGAUUGAACGCUGGCGGCAUGCCUUACACAUGCAAGUCGAACGGCAGCACGGAGCUUGCUCUGGUGGCGAGUGGCGAACGGGUGAGUAAUAUAUCGGAACGUACCCUAGAGUGGGGGAUAACGUAGCGAAAGUUACGCUAAUACCGCAUACGAUCUAAGGAUGAAAGUGGGGGAUCGCAAGACCUCAUGCUCGUGGAGCGGCCGAUAUCUGAUUAGCUAGUUGGUAGGGUAAAGGCCUACCAAGGCAUCGAUCAGUAGCUGGUCUGAGAGGACGACCAGCCACACUGGAACUGAGACACGGUCCAGACUCCUACGGGAGGCAGCAGUGGGGAAUUUUGGACAAUGGGCGAAAGCCUGAUCCAGCAAUGCCGCGUGAGUGAAGAAGGCCUUCGGGUUGUAAAGCUCUUUUGUCAGGGAAGAAACGGUGAGAGCUAAUAUCUCUUGCUAAUGACGGUACCUGAAGAAUAAGCACCGGCUAACUACGUGCCAGCAGCCGCGGUAAUACGUAGGGUGCAAGCGUUAAUCGGAAUUACUGGGCGUAAAGCGUGCGCAGGCGGUUUUGUAAGUCUGAUGUGAAAUCCCCGGGCUCAACCUGGGAAUUGCAUUGGAGACUGCAAGGCUAGAAUCUGGCAGAGGGGGGUAGAGUUCCACGUGUAGCAGUGAAAUGCGUAGAUAUGUGGAGGAACACCGAUGGCGAAGGCAGCCCCCUGGGUCAAGAUUGACGCUCAUGCACGAAAGCGUGGGGAGCAAACAGGAUUAGAUACCCUGGUAGUCCACGCCCUAAACGAUGUCUACUAGUUGUCGGGUCUUAAUUGACUUGGUAACGCAGCUAACGCGUGAAGUAGACCGCCUGGGGAGUACGGUCGCAAGAUUAAAACUCAAAGGAAUUGACGG